GGGUGAGUGAGUGAGUGAGUGGGUGAAUGGGUUAGUGGGUGAGUGGGUGAGUAGGUGAGUGGGUGAGUGAGUUGUGAUGGUUGGAAUAUCUUACAACUGAUAUGUAUCAAAAUGUAUCACUGUCAUUACUGUUGUCAGAUGUCAAAUUUAUUCACAGUUUCAACCUCCGAGGUUGCCCGCAUAGUUGUGGGUGAGUGAGUGAGUGAGUGAGUGAGUGAGUGAGUGAGUGGGUGAGUGGGUGAGUGAGUUGUGAUGGUUGGAAUAUCUUACAACUGAUAUGUAUCAAAAUGUAUCACUGUCAUUACGUUUGUCAGAUGUCAAAUUUAUUCACAUUUGUAAGUGUAUGGAAUUUGUUUGAACAGUUAUAACAUACACGGUAGACAGUAGACAAAUCUCCAGUCUCACCAAGACUGUUAAGUCCAAUAAAAGAACCCACUGUACUAUACGUUUUAAAAAGUAAACGUUUAAAAUGAUUUAGAUAAAAUACAAAUAAAUGUUGAAAACAUUUUCAGUUUGUUGCACUGAUGAGAAAAAAUUGACACUGUAUCCUGAAGAAAUGAAUAAACAUUUUCACUGCAAACUGGCAUUUGUAAAACGAUGUGCAACUGUGAGUGAGAUAAUAUUGUGUUACGUUGCCCAAGCAGGUUUGCUGUUGUCCAAGGCAAUUUGUACUUAUAAGUUAUUAUUCAAUGGAAACCUAAUGUCCCUCUUAAACGUCAUCAAUUUGCUUGUACGGACAUUCCAGAGCACACAAGAACCUAAUGACCACAGCAACUUUGUUGUCACAGUGAACUAUUUCCACGGUGACGAUUACAGCUCGUUUUUCCAAUUUACAUCAUAGAGUAUUAUAUCAUA